CUCAUAGCCACCUCGGCAUAACCCUGCGGGUGAAGAGUGGAUGAGAAAUGAAAAGGGAAAAGCAGAGAGAGAGAAAGUCUUCUGUAAAGUUGUCUGUGUGAGUUCCACACAUAAGGGAGAAAGGACUAAUGCCUAAGGAAGAGGUAGAAGAGAAUUUCUCCACACCUUUUUCAAAAUUGAAGGAAAAUAGAGGGAAAAGAGGGGACACAACCCUGGACAAUAUUCAUUCCUUUGAGCCUAGCAACAAAAGCAGGAAAAGAAAGGACGAAGAAAAACCCAGGAGGAAUAAAACAGCAGCAGGAGGUAGAAGAGGAGGAUUGGGAUUCUGCGCACCUUCACACUGUGCUGACGGGCCCAUACAUGAGUGCUUUGCAUCUGCAACUGUAUGCUAAACAUACACAAAAAAUAAUGUGAAACUAUCCACAG